rnacentral:rRNA from 1 species
CCUACGGGAGGCAGCAGUGGGGAAUUGUUCGCAAUGGGCGCAAGCCUGACGACGCAACGCCGCGUGGAGGAUGAAGAUCUUCGGGUCGUAAACUCCUGUCGAGCGGGAAGAAUACCUUUCGAGUGAACAGCUCGGGAGGUUGACGGUACCGCGAGAGGAAGCCCCGGCUAACUCCGUGCCAGCAGCCGCGGUAAUACGGGGGGGGCAAGCGUUGUUCGGAAUUACUGGGCGUAAAGGGCUCGUAGGCGGCCGACUAAGUCUGACGUGAAAUCCCCCGGCUCAACUGGGGAACUGCGUCCGAUACUGGUGGGCUUGAGAUCGGGAGAGGGACGUGGAAUUCCAGGUGUAGCGGUGAAAUGCGUAGAUAUCUGGAGGAACACCGGUGGCGAAGGCGGCGUCCUGGACCGACACUGACGCUGAGGAGCGAAAGCCAGGGGAGCAAACGGGAUUAGAUACCCCGGUAGUCCUGGCCCUAAACGAUGAAUGCUUGGUGUGGCGGGUAUCGAUCCCCGCCGUGCCGGAGCUAACGCAUUAAGCAUUCCGCCUGGGGAGUACGGUCGCAAGGCUGAAACUCAAAGGGAAUUGACGG